rnacentral:rRNA from 1 species
CCUACGGGCGGCAGCAGUGAGGAAUAUUGGUCAAUGGGCGCAAGCCUGAACCAGCCAAGUAGCGUGAAGGAUGACUGCUCUAUGGGUUGUAAACUUCUUUUAUAAAGGAAUAAAGUGAGGCACGUGUGCCUUUUUGUAUGUACUUUAUGAAUAAGGAUCGGCUAACUCCGUGCCAGCAGCCGCGGUAAUACGGAGGAUCCGAGCGUUAUCCGGAUUUAUUGGGUUUAAAGGGUGCGUAGACGGGCUGAUAAGUCAGUGGUGAAAGGUUGGGGCUCAACCCUAAAAUUGCAAUUGAUACUGGCAGACUUGAGAACAGUUGCGGUAGGCGGAAUGCGUGGUGUAGCGGUGAAAUGCUUAGAUAUCACGCAGAACACCGAUUGCGAAGGCAGCUUACUAAACUGCCACUGACACUGAUGCACGAAAGCGUGGGUAUCAAACAGGAUUAGAUACCCCAGUAGUC